CUGCUGCUGCAUCCUGUUAGGCUGCUACUAUGAUCAAUCAAAUGGCAAGGACGUUCGCUAUCAACGUGUAUAAUAUCUAACAAGCGGGGCGAGGGUACAAACAAAAAUGGAACGCCGAUGCACACUCUGACUGAUAGCAAACUUGUCUGCCCGCUGCAAGUUGAGGACACACAGACACAGUCAAUAGAGGAGAGAAGACAGAGGGUAGUCUCUCAUCUCUCAUCCAGAGCAGCCUGAAGGAGUGACCUUUAAGAUCAAAUACCCAGAUGGGAGGGAGCAGAUUAGGAGAUUCCUGCUCUCUGAAUCCAUUCAGGAUGCAUUGCUACAUCAUGCUGCUAAGGAGCUGAGGGUGAGUGGGAAGGGCCAUCUGCACCUGAGGGGAGGUUACACACCUGCAGAGCUUCCAGAGGGCGGGCCCUGCCAUACACAGAGGAUGAGAGAAAGGGACGGGGGAUUGAGCUCAGCUGGAGCCAAUGCAGCAGCAGAGUCGACAGCCUAAGCUAGUGGAAGGAAGCCUUCCCGUGUUUGUGUACCCCACAGAGCUCGUCUUCUACGCAGACAAGCAGACCUCCCACAAGCAGGUGCUCACCCUCUACAAUCCCUAUGAGUUCGCCUUCAAGUUCAAAGUGCUAUGCACAGCGCCAAACAAGUAUACUGUGGUGGACUCCACCGGAGACGUGAAACCACAGUGCUGUGUUGACAUGUGAGUAAU